UAAGGAAUAUUGGACAAUGGAGGCAACUCUGAUCCAGCCGUGCCGCGUGAAGGAAUAAGGCCCUAUGGGUUGUAAACUUCUUUUAGACGGGACAAAACCCCUUUACGUGUAAAGGGUUGAUGGUACUGUCAGAAUAAGCAUCGGCUAACUUCGUGCCAGCAGCCGCGGUAAUACGAAGGAUGCAAGCGUUAUCCGGAAUUAUUGGGUUUAAAGGGUGCGUAGGCGGACUAAUAAGUCAGUGGUGAAAGCCUGCAGCUUAACUGCAGAAUUGCCAUUGAUACUGUUAGUCUUGAGUACAGUUGAGGUAGGCGGAAUGUGUCAUGUAGCGGUGAAAUGCUUAGAUAUGACACAGAACACCGAUUGCGAAGGCAGCUUGCUAAGCUGUAACUGACGCUGAGGCACGAAAGCGUGGGAGCAAACA
rnacentral:rRNA from 1 species